rnacentral:rRNA from 1 species
AACGAACGCUGGCGGCAGGCUUAACACAUGCAAGUCGAGCGCCCCGCAAGGGGAGCGGCAGACGGGUGAGUAACGCGUGGGAACGUACCCUUUGCUCCGGAAUAGCUCCGGGAAACUGGAAUUAAUACCGUAUGUGCCCUACGGGGGAAAGAUUUAUCGGCAAAGGAUCGGCCCGCGUUGGAUUAGCUAGUUGGUGGGGUAAUGGCCUACCAAGGAGACGAUCCAUAGCUGGUCUGAGAGGAUGAUCAGCCACAUUGGGACUGAGACACGGCCCAGAGUGAUACGGGAGGCAGCAGUGGGGAACAUUCGCCAAUGGGCGCAAGCCUGAUCCAGCCAUGCCGCGUGGGUGAUGGAGGCCUUAGGGUUGUAAAGCUCUUUCACCGGAGAAGAUAAUGACGGUAUCCGGGGAAGAAGCCCCGGCUAACUUCGUGCCAGCAGCCGCAGUAACAC